rnacentral:rRNA from 1 species
UACGUAGGGUGCGAGCGUUAAUCGGAAUUACUGGGCGUAAAGCGUGCGCAGGCGGUGAGCUGUGUCCGAUGUGAAAGCCCCGGGCUCAACCUGGGAACCGCGCUUGAGACUGGCAUGCUCGAGUUCGGGAGAGGAUGGUGGAAUUCCCAGUGUAGAGGUGAAAUUCGUAGAUAUUGGGAAGAACACCGAUGGCGAAGGCAGCCAUCUGGACCGACACUGACGCUGAGGCGCGAAAGCGUGGGGAGCAAACAGG